ACCAAGAGCAGCCCUUGCUGGUGUCC
rnacentral:piRNA from 1 species